GACGAACGCUGGCGGCGUGCUUAACACAUGCAAGUCGAACGGAAAGGCCCUGCUUGCAGGGUACUCGAGUGGCGAACGGGUGAGUAACACGUGGGUGAUCUGCCCUGCACUUCGGGAUAAGCCUGGGAAACUGGGUCUAAUACCGGAUAGGAGCCAUUUUUAGUGUGAUGGUUGGAAAGUUUUUUCGGUGUAGGAUGAGCUCGCGGCCUAUCAGCUUGUUGGUGGGGUAAUGGCCUACCAAGGCGGCGACGGGUAGCCGGCCUGAGAGGGUGGACGGCCACAUUGGGACUGAGAUACGGCCCAGACUCCGACGGGAGGCAGCAGUGGGGAAUAUUGCACAAGGGGCGCAAGCCGGAUGCAGCGACGCCGCGUGGGGGAUGACGGCCUUCGGGUUGUAAACUCAUUUCGCUAGGGACGAAGCUUUUUGUGACGGUACCUAGAUAAGAAGCACCGGCUAACUACGUG
rnacentral:rRNA from 1 species